rnacentral:rRNA from 1 species
GAAUAUUGGACAAUGGGCGCAAGCCUGAUCCAGCCAUGCCGCGUGUGUGAUGACGGCCUUAGGGUUGUAAAGCACUUUCGCCGAUGAAGAUAAUGACUGUAGUCGGAGAAGAAGCCCCGGCUAACUUCGUGCCAGCAGCCGCGGUAAUACGAAGGGGGCUAGCGUUGUUCGGAAUUACUGGGCGUAAAGCGUACGUAGGCGGAUUGUUAAGUGAGGGGUGAAAUCCCGAGGCUCAACCUCGGAACUGCCUUUCAUACUGGCAAUCUUGAGUCCGGGAGAGGUGAGUGGAACUCCUAGUGUAGGGGUGAAAUUCGUAGAUAUUAGGAAGAACACCAGUGGCGAAGGCGGCUCACUGGCCCGGAACUGACGCUGAGGUACGAAAGCGUGGGGAGCAAACAGG